UUGCGGUAAAAAAGCUCGUAGUUGGAUUUCUGUUGAGGACAACCGGUCCAUACCAUGUAUGCGCAUCUGGCUUGGCCUCGGCAUCCUCUCGAAAGACGUUUCUGCGCUUGAUUGCGUGGAGCGGAUCUCGGGACUUUUACUUUGAGGAAAUUAGAGUGUUCACGGCAGGCAAUCGCCAGAAUACAUUAGCAUGGAAUAAUAUUAUAGGAUCUUGGUUCUAUUUUGUUGGUUUCUAGAAUUGAGAUAAUGAUUAAUAGGGACAAUUGGGGGCAUUCGUAUCAACACGUCAGAGGUGGAAUUCUUGGAUUGUGUUGCGACGAACUACUGCGAAAGCAUUUGCCAAGGAUGUUUUCAUUGAUCAAGAACGAAAGUAAGGGGAUCGAAGACGAUUAGAUACCGUCGUAGUCUUUACCAU
rnacentral:rRNA from 1 species